rnacentral:lncRNA from 1 species
UGAUGAGUCGAAGACCAUGUUACUUGAUCUGGUUCAGCUUAGAUACUUCAUGUUAAAAUCUGGUAUAUAUCCAAAGGAACUGAAAUCAGUGUGUUGAAGAGAUACCUGCACCCCAUGCUCACUGCAGCAUAAUUCACAGGGAACAAUCUAAGUGACCAUCAACAGAUGAGUGAGUAUAGAGCAUGUGGUAUAUUUUACUUAAAAUAACUUCUUCAGUGAUUUUCUCUUAGCUUUUUGAAGCAAGAAUCUGUAACUUCUAUUAUAGGAUAAUCCAAGCCACUGCCAAUAAAAUAAUCAAAAAACAA